GAUGAACGCUGGCGGCGUGCCUAAUACAUGCCAGUCGAGCGAACGGACGAGAAGCUUGCUUCUCUGAUGUUAUCGGCGGACGGGUGAGUAACACGUGGAUAACCUACCUAUAAGACUGGGAUAACUUCGGGAAACCGGAGCUAAUACCGGAUAAUAUUUUGAACAGCAUGGUUCAAAAGUGAAAGAAGGUCUUGCUGUCACUUAUAGAUGGAUCCGCGCUGCAUUAGCUAGUUGGUAAGGUAACGGCUUACCAAGGCAACGAUGCAUAGCCGACCUGAGAGGGUGAUCGGCCACACUGGAACUGAGACACGGUCCAGACUCCUACGGGAGGCAGCAGUAGGGAAUCUUCCGCAAUGGGCGAAAGCCUGACGGAGCAACGCCGCGUGAGUGAUGAAGGUCUUCGGAUCGUAAAACUCUGUUAUUAGGGAAGAACAUAUGUGUAAGUAACUGUGCACAUCUUGACGGUACCUAAUCAGAAAGCCACGGCUAACUACGUG
rnacentral:rRNA from 1 species